rnacentral:rRNA from 1 species
GGGUGCGAUCAUACUACCACUAAUGCACCGGAUCCCAUCAGAACUCCGCAGUUAAGCGUGCUUGGGCGAGACUAGUACUAGGAUGGGUUACCUCCUGGGAAGUCCUCGUGUUGCACCCC